CUGCUCUCAGGGUCACACCUGGAGAGUUUCCAGUACUCUACCAGUCUCGACUACAGGAGGGAGAGUCAAGCAAAGGCCUGGCCAUUCCAUUCCUAGCUUGGGCAGCGGCUAGCAAGUGGAAGGCAAUCUGCUACAAGU
rfam:Ornithorhynchus anatinus chromosome 2, whole genome shotgun sequence.